CUGGAGCACCAGAAGGUGGAAAGGCAGCAGCUUUUGGAAGACUUGAGGGAGAAGCAGCAAGAGGUCUUGCAUUUCAGGGAGGAACGCCUUUCCCUCCAGGAAAACGACUCCAGACUGCAGCACAAGCUGGUUCUCCUGCAGCAACAGUGUGAAGAGAAACAGCAGCUCUUUGAGUCCCUCCAGUCAGAGUUACAAAUCUAUGAGGCACUUUAUGGCAAUUCCAAGAAGGGGCUGAAAGCUUACAGCCUGGAUGUCUGUCACCAAAUCCCUUUGAGCAGUGACUUGAGCCACCUGGUGGCAGAGGUACGAGGUCUGAGAGGGCAGCUGGAGAACAGCAUUCAGGGGAACAAUUGUCUGUGACUGCAGCUGCAACAGCAGCUGGAUAGCCUGCUGGCAAAGCCAGCCUCAGCCCCUCCUCUGUUAACCAGAACUUCCCAGCCAGCGCUGACCCUGGAAACAAGCAGCUGCUCCUCCAAGAUUCAGCUGUGUCCCCUCCAGUCCGGGAUGUUGGUAUGAAUUCCCCAGCUCUGGUCCUCCCCAGCUCUGCUUCCUCUACUCCUGGCUCAGAAA
rnacentral:lncRNA from 1 species